CCCUAUUAUUCAGGUCAAGAACUAGUUGGUGAGUAGGGGUAGAUCUUGAAAACUAUCCAGAAUGGCGGUUUUUUUUAUUUUCAGGAAAAUGUGUUUUUAAAACGAAAUCACACGAAGAUCUUUCUCACCUUGGAAACCCAUCCUGUACACCGCCGUCUGAAGGGUCAACUUAAAAAAUUAACCCCCAUUUUUACUAUAAAAAAUAAGUCAGGUAAGGUGCAGAUUAUGGGUGAGAAAAAAUGCAUUUCCCUAACUUGCUCGGAAGGGGGGUUGAAAAACUUCCCUGAAGAAGAAUUUGAAAGUAAGAUCUUUUAAUUAUAAAAAUCUGAAAUUAUACCAAAAAAAUGUACACAUCGCCCG
rnacentral:rRNA from 1 species